GUAGGAUGAUAAUAUUCUGCAUUCCCAAUAAUCCUCUAAUUUUGAGGGUUCCUCCUAUCACAACCCUUUCUAUAGCUUGAAGAAUCAUCUUCUCAAUUUCUUCCUAUUUCACCUCAUCUUCCUCAUUGACUUCUUCCAUUUCUUCUACUGCCAUCACUGUCUUGGCGCUGCAUUGAUGACUUGGGUAAUAUUGGUCACCAAACCUAAAGCAUAAGGUUGAGGCUCUCUUCACCUCCAUUUCAUUCUGAGUAUUCCUAUAGAAAGAGGUAGCGUUGGACCAAUUAUUCUCCAAAUUCCAUUUAUGGGAUGAAUAGCAUUGACUCUUUCCUGCAAAUUGUUGGUUCUUUGCCAUCUCAACGUUGAGGUUGGCGCUGCUCUUUCCUGCUUGGUUCAGAAAAAGAUCUUGACAGAUCAUGAUACAGAGAACUCCCAUGGUUUUGGUUUCAUCAGUUAUGAUUCUUUUGAGGCUCCUGACUCUGCCAUAGAGGAGAUUGAGGUCUGUGUAGAAUUUUAGUCGUCUUCAUCCUUUGAUAAUCACUGGAGAUUACAUGAUAUCCAAGUGUUUGGACAAUCUCAUAUCCGUAUGUGAGCAUUAUUAUAUAUUAUAGUAGCCGCUAGUGCUUCUGCAGGUGAUAUUUUAUGUUGUUUUCUAUGAUUUUUUAAACUCUUU